AGUGAACGCUGGCGGUAGGCCUAGCACAUGCAAGUCGAACGGCAGCACAGUAAGAGCUUGCUCUUACGGGUGGCGAGUGGCGGACGGGUGAGGAAUACAUCGGAAUCUACUUUUUCGUGGGGGAUAACGUAGGGAAACUUACGCUAAUACCGCAUACGACCUACGGGUGAAAGCAGGGGAUCUUCGGACCUUGCGCGAUUGAAUGAGCCGAUGUCGGAUUAGCUAGUUGGCGGGGUAAAGGCCCGCCAAGGCGACGAUCCGUAGCUGGUCUGAGAGGAUGAUCAGCCACACUGGAACUGAGACACGGUCCAGACUCCUACGGGAGGCAGCAGUGGGGAAUAUUGGACAAUGGGCGCAAGCCUGAUCCAGCCAUACUGCGUGGGUGAAGAAGGCCUUCGGGUUGUAAAGCCCUUUUGUUGGGAAAGAAAAGCAGCAGGUUAAUACCCCGCUGUUCUGACGGUACCCAAAGAAUAAGCACCGGCUAACUUCGUG
rnacentral:rRNA from 1 species